UACGGAGGAGGCAAGCGUUAUCCGGAAUUACUGGGCGUAAAGGGCUCGUAGGCGGCCAACUAAGUCAGACGUGAAAUCCCUCGGCUUAACCGGGGAACUGCGUCUGAUACUGGAUGGCUAGAGGUUGGGAGAGGGAUGCGGAAUUCCAGGUGUAGCGGUGAAAUGCGUAGAUAUCUGGAGGAACACCGGUGGCGAAGGCGGCAUCCUGGACCAAUUCUGACGCUGAGGAGCGAAAGCCAGGGGAGCAAACGGG
rnacentral:rRNA from 1 species